rnacentral:rRNA from 1 species
GACGAACCGUGCGAACGUUGUUCGGAAUCACUGGGCUUAAAGGGCGCGUAGGCGGGCUGCCAAGUCAGGGGUGAAAUCCUGCGGCUCAACCGUAGAAGUGCCUUUGAUACUGGCGGCCUUGAGGGAGGUAGGGGCGUGCGGAACUUCCGGUGGAGCGGUGAAAUGCGUAGAUAUCGGAAGGAACACCGGUGGCGAAAGCGGCGCGCUGGACCUCUUCUGACGCUGAGGCGCGAAAGCCAGGGGAGCGAACGGG